rnacentral:tRNA from 1 species
GCCUGGAUGGCUCAGUUGGUUAGAGCGCAGGUCUCAUACGAUUAGUAUGACCACCCACCGGUGGGCAAUCCUGAGGUCGUGAGUUCGAUCCUCACUCCGGGCA